AUUGAACGCUGGCGGCAUGCUUUACACAUGCAAGUCGAACGGGGUGGGGGGCAACCCCCAUUCAGUGGCGAACGGGUGCGUAAUGCAUCGGAACGUAUCCCGUAGUGGGGGACAACGCCGCGAAAGCGGCGCUAAUACCGCAUAUGCUCUACGGAGGAAAGUGGGGGACCUGAAAGGACCUCCCGUUAUUGGAGCGGCCCAUGUCCGAUUAGCUAGUUGGCGGGGUAAGAGCCCACCAAGGCGACGAUCGGUAGCUGGUCUGGGAGGAUGAUCAGCCACACUGGGACUGAGACACGGCCCAGACUCCUACGGGAGGCAGCAGUGGGGAAUUUUGGACAAUGGGGGCAACCCUGAUCCAGCCAUGCCGCGUGAGUGAAGAAGGCCUUCGGGUUGUAAAGCUCUUUCGGCCGGAACGAAAUCGCAUCCUCUAAUACGGGGUGUGGAUGACGGUACCGGAAGAAGAAGCACCGGCUAACUACGUGCCAGCAGCCGCCGCGGUAA
rnacentral:rRNA from 1 species